rnacentral:rRNA from 1 species
UACGGGGGGUGCAAGCGUUGUUCGGAAUUACUGGGCGUAAAGGGCUCGUAGGUGGCCAACUAAGUCAGACGUGAAAUCCCUCGGCUUAACCGGGGAACUGCGUCUGAUACUGGAUGGCUUGAGGUUGGGAGAGGGAUGCGGAAUUCCAGGUGUAGCGGUGAAAUGCGUAGAUAUCUGGAGGAACACCGGUGGCGAAGGCGGCAUCCUGGACCAAUUCUGACACUGAGGAGCGAAAGCCAGGGGAGCAAACGGG